rnacentral:rRNA from 1 species
UACGUAGGGUGCGAGCGUUGUCCGGAAUUAUUGGGCGUAAAGAGCUCGUAGGCGGUCUGUCGCGUCGGCUGUGAAAUCCCGAGGCUCAACCUCGGGUCUGCAGUCGAUACGGGCAAACUGGAGUGUUGCAGGGGAGACUGGAAUUCCUGGCGUAGCGGUGAAAUGCGCAGAUAUCAGGAGGAACACCGGUGGCGAAGGCGGGUCUCUGGGCCGAUAUUGACGCUGAGGAGCGAAAGCGUGGGGAGCGAACAGG